rnacentral:rRNA from 1 species
GAUGAACGCUGGCGGCGCGCCUAACACAUGCAAGUCGAACGAUUAAAGCACCUUCGGGUGCUUAUACAGUGGCCAACUGCUGAGUAACACGUGGGCACCCUGCCCCUCUCAUUUUGAUAGCCACUAGCAACCGUGGAUAUUACCUAAUACUUCAGCCCUCCCACAUGUAAGACUCGAGAAACCUCCGGCCUUGGGCGAUUGGCUCGCGGCCUGUUGGCUUGUUUGGGGGGUAGUGUCCUACCACGGCAAUGCUGGGUAGCUGAGUUGGGAAACCGACCAGCGAGAUUGGGACUGAGAGAGGGACCAGACGCGUACGGGAGGCAGCAGUGGGGAAUCUGGCACAAUGGGCGAGAGCCUGAUGCAGAGGCGCCGCGUGCGGGAUGAAGGCCUGUGGGUUGUAAACCGCUGUCAGCAGGGACGAGGCGAAAGUGACGGUACCUGCAGAAGAAGCCCCGGCUAACUACGUG